CCAAAGUGGGCUCUGCACUGACAGCAACGAGCCCGAUGUGGGACUCCAACUCACGAACCCAGAUCAUGACUUGAGCUGAAGUCAGAUGCUCCACUGACUGAGCCCGCCAGGCGCCCCAGGAGCACAAAUUCCUUAAGCUGAAGGGUGUUUUGCCCCCACACUCCCCCUUCCCUCACCCUACCUGGGUAUACGUGUGUGGUGAAACAUUCUGAGUCCUAAUACUAAUCACGAGUUAGGUUUCCCAUAAGAAUGAUAAAAGAAUAAAGAUUUCCUUCUAAGAAUUCUUGAAAGGAUUACCCAGAGAUUAUUAUUUUUUUUUCUUUUGGGAAGUUUGAAUUACGGCUUUAGGAAAACCGCCAAGUAGGGGGAGAAGGGAUGGGAAAUGAGAAAUGUACUCAGUCACUAAAGAGUGGUUUCAGAGGCUUUAUAGGUACGCAGUGCUGAAGAGACGAAUAGCACACUUUACUCAAGUCGGGUUUUCUCUGGUUAAUUACAGUAGAACGCUAUGGUGUCAGGAGCCACCGAGCCAGUCGUGGAUGACUCACCCCACUUAAUCCAAACCACAGGACUGACAAAUGAUUAAUUCCGGUCGUCAGAUGAUUAGCCCUAUUCAUGGGGUCACAACCUUGCCUGCCACUAACUUGCACCUAAACUCCUCAGGAAAGGGCAAGAGAAAAGAAAGCCACUGUAAUUUGGAGACAAGACUUUUCCAGACAACUAUGAACAACAGCAACCAUAGCGCGCCACUAAACAGAGCUGUGUUGUGGAGACGUGGAGAGCAGUAAGACAUCUGUGGGGUACAUAGAGUAGAUGCAAAUAGAAUCUUCAAAAGAGUGUCGGCAUGAAUUCUAGAGAAAACUAAGUGCUUGCAAACUCACUUAUAAUAAACAUUUAAAACAUGGGUCAAAAAGUGUUUCCUGGAAUUAGAGAGUCAAUUAAAUGGGGACAAAAUUUAGAAGAUACGUAUAUAUCUAUAUAUCUUGUCUCUCUCUCUCUCUGUCUCUCUCUCUC